rnacentral:rRNA from 1 species
GACGAACGCUGGCGGCGCGCUUAACACAUGCAAGUCGAACGGUAAGGCCCCUUCGGGGGUACACGAGUGGCGAACGGGUGAGUAACACGUGAGCAACCUGCCCUUGACUCUGGGAUAACAGUUGGAAACAGCUGCUAAUACCGGAUACGACAUUCGAUGACAUCAUCUGGAGGUGGAAAGCGCUUUAGCGGUCAACGAUGGGCUCGCGGCCUAACAGCUUGUUGGUGAGGUAACGGCUCACCAAGGCUUCGACGGGUAGCCGGCCUGAGAGGGCGACCGGCCACACUGGGACUGAGAUACGGCCCAGACUCCUACGGGAGGCAGCAGUGGGGAAUAUUGCACAAUGGGCGCAAGCCUGAUGCAGCAACGCCGCGUGCGGGAUGACGGCCUUCGGGUUGUAAACCGCUUUCAGUUCCGACGAAGCGCAAGUGACGGUAGGAACAGAAGAAGGACCGGCCAACUACGUGCCAGCAGCCGCAGUAA